UAAGGAAUAUUGGACAAUGGGCGAAAGCCUGAUCCAGCCAUGCCGCGUGAGUGAUGAAGGCCUUAGGGUUGUAAAGCUCUUUUAGAUGGGAAGAUAAUGACUGUACCAUCAGAAUAAGCCCCGGCUAAAUUCGUGCCAGCAGCCGCGGUAAUACGAAUGGGGCAAGCGUUGUUCGGAAUCACUGGGCGUAAAGCGUGUGUAGGCGGUGUAUCAAGUCAGGAGUGAAAUCCCAGGGCUCAACCCUGGAAUUGCUCUUGAAACUGAUACGCUAGAGUACUGGAGAGGUUAGCAGAAUUCCGAGUGUAGAGGUGAAAUUCGCAGAUAUUCGGAGGAAUACCAGUGGCGCAAGCGGCUAACUGGACAGUAACUGACGCUGAGACACGAAAGCGUGGGGAUCAAACAG
rnacentral:rRNA from 1 species